GCCCCAGUGGCCUAAUGGAUAAGGCAUGCGGCCUCCUAAGCCGGGGAUUGUGGGUUCG
rnacentral:tRNA from 1 species